UACGGAGGGGGCUAGCGUUGUUCGGAAUUACUGGGCGUAAAGCGCACGUAGGCGGAUCAGCCAGUCAGGGGUGAAAUCCCGGGGCUCAACCCCGGAACUGCCCUUGAUACUGCUGGUCUGGAGUUCGAGAGAGGCGAGUGGAAUUCCGAGUGUAGAGGUGAAAUUCGUAGAUAUUCUGAGGAACACCAGUGGCGAAGGCGGCUCGCUGGCUCGACACUGACGCUGAGGUGCGAAAGCGUGGGGAGCAAACAGGAUUAGAUACCCCGGUAGU
rnacentral:rRNA from 1 species